AUUGAACGCUGGCGGCAUGCCUUACACAUGCAAGUCGAACGGUAACAGGUCUUCGGAUGCUGACGAGUGGCGAACGGGUGAGUAAUACAUCGGAACGUGCCUAGUAGUGGGGGAUAACUACUCGAAAGAGUGGCUAAUACCGCAUGAGAUCUACGGAUGAAAGCAGGGGAUCGCAAGACCUUGUGCUACUAGAGCGGCCGAUGGCAGAUUAGGUAGUUGGCGGGAUAAAAGCUUACCAAGCCGACGAUCUGUAGCUGGUCUGAGAGGACGAUCAGCCACACUGGGACUGAGAAACGGCCCAGACUCCUACGGGAGGCAGCAGUGGGGAAUUUUGGACAAUGGGCGCAAGCCUGAUCCAGAAAUGCCGCGUGCAGGAUGAAGGCCUUCGGGUUGUAAACUGCUUUUGUACGGAACGAAAAGCCCCGGGUUAAUACCCUGGGGUCAUGACGGUACCGUAAGAAUAAGCACCGGCUAACUACGUGCCAGCCGCCGCCGUAA
rnacentral:rRNA from 1 species